CUCAGGAUGAACGCUGGCGGCGUGCCUAACACAUGCAAGUCGAGCGAUUCUCUUCGGAGAAGAGCGGCGGACGGGUGAGUAACGCGUGGGUAACCUGCCUCAUACACAUGGAUAACAUACCGAAAGGUAUGCUAAUACAGGAUAAUAUAAGAGAUUCACAUGGAUUUCUUAUCAAAGCUCCGGCGGUAUGAGAUGGACCCGCGUCUGAUUAGCUAGUUGGUAAGGUAACGGCUUACCAAGGCGACGAUCAGUAGCCGACCUGAGAGGGUGAUCGGCCACAUUGGAACUGAGACACGGUCCAAACUCCUACGGGAGGCAGCAGUGGGGAAUAUUGCACAAUGGGCGAAAGCCUGAUGCCAGCAACGCCGCGUGAGUGAUGAAGGCCUUCGGGUCGUAAAACUCUGUCCUCAAGGAAGAUAAUGACGGUACUUGAGGAGGAAGCCCCGGCUAACUACGUGCCAGCCGCAGC
rnacentral:rRNA from 1 species